GACGAACGCUGGCGGCGUGCUUAACACAUGCAAGUCGAACGGAAAGGCCCUGCUUUUGUGGGGUGCUCGAGUGGCGAACGGGUGAGUAACACGUGAGUAACCUGCCCUUGACUUUGGGAUAACUUCAGGAAACUGGGGCUAAUACCGGAUAGGAGCUCCUGCUGCAUGGUGGGGGUUGGAAAGUUUCGGCGGUUGGGGAUGGACUCGCGGCUUAUCAGCUUGUUGGUGGGGUAGUGGCUUACCAAGGCUUUGACGGGUAGCCGGCCUGAGAGGGUGACCGGCCACAUGGGGACUGAGAUACGGCCCUGACUCCUACGGGAGGCAGCAGUGGGGAAUAUUGCACAAUGGGCGGAAGCCUGAUGCAGCAACGCCGCGUGCGGAUGACGGCCUUCGGGUUGUAAACCGCUUUCGCCUGUGACGAAGCGUGAGUGACGGUAAUGGGUAAAGAAGCACCGGCUAACUACGUG
rnacentral:rRNA from 1 species